GCUCAGAUUACAAGUGUGGGCUCAUCAAAGCACUGAGGUUAACCAAGAGGGUUAAUAUAAAAGUCCCAGGUGGGUAACUGGCCACCAUGCAGGUGGAUGGGAGCUGAGACACCCAACCUGGCUGGAUACCAUAGCAACAUAACCACCUCGUCUGGUCCUUAUUCAUCUGGUUCCACAGAUGGACUGUUUGAACCCAGGGGUUAUGACUGCAUUGAAUGAGAAGCUGGCCAUGUCCAUAUCUAGAUGCUUUGAAUGUUCAUGGUGAAUGUUGAAAAGCUGCUUGAUGCAUGUUCGACAAUGGUAGCAGAGGAGGAGAAGGAGAUAUUGGCGGGUCGGAGACGGUUGACAUCAUGUCGGACGAGAUCGUUGAGGGGAUCGUUGGGUGGUGAGACCUCCUAGGUUCCGCAGCGAGGAGCUCACUACUUUGUGUAAGGUGCUGCAAGGAAGUCUGGAGGCUGACCACAGGUUUCAGGCUACACACUCCAGAUGUCACACCAUAGGGGUGGCAGGGUAGCCUAGUGGUUAGAGU
ensembl:lncRNA